rnacentral:tRNA from 1 species
GGUUGUGGCUCAGUGGCAGAGUGCUGGCCUAGCAGGCUUGAGGCACUGGGUUCGAUCCUCAGCACCA